CAGCACCUCAAGUGGUCAGGAUGAUUAUUGGGCCUAAAGCAUCCGUAGCCGGCGCUGUAAGUUUUCGGUUAAAUCUGUACGCUCAACGUACAGGCUGCCGGGAAUACUGCAGCGCUAGGGAGUGGGAGAGGUAGACGGUACUCGGCAGGAAGGGGUAAAAUCCUUUGAUCUAUUGAUGACCACCUGUGGCGAAGGCGGUCUACCAGAACACGUCCGACGGUGAGGGAUGAAAGCUGGGGGAGCAAACCGGAUUAGAUACCCGUGUAGUCC
rnacentral:rRNA from 1 species